rnacentral:tRNA from 1 species
GCCCCAGUGGCCUAAUGGAUAAGGCACUGGCCUCCUAAGCCAGGGAGGCCAGAGGGUUCGAGUCCCUUCUGGGGUG